AUACGUAGGUGACAAGCGUUAUCCGGAUUUACUGGGCGUAAAGGGCGCGUAGGCGGCGCGGUAAGUCUGGAGUGAAAGUCCUGCUUUCAAGGUGGGAAUUGCUUUGGAUACUGCCGCGCUUGAGUGCAGGAGAGGUUAUCGGAAUUACCGGUGUAGCGGUGAAAUGCGUAGAGAUCGGGAGGAACACCAGUGGCGAAGGCGGGUAACUGGACUGCAACUGACGCUGAGGCGCGAAAGUGUGGGGAGCAAACAGGAUUAGAUACCCUGGUAGUCCACACUGUAAACGAUGAAUGCUAGGUGUAAGAGGUAUCGACCCCUUUUGUGCCGGAGUCAACACAAUAAGCAUUCCGCCUGGGGAGUACGGCCGCAAGGUUGAAACUCAAAUGAAUUGGCGGGG
rnacentral:rRNA from 1 species